rnacentral:lncRNA from 1 species
AGGUCCAAGGAAAAAUAGAAGAAUUCAUCAAUGAAUUUGUCAUUCUGUCACAAAUUAACCACAGAAACGUGGUCAAGUUGUUAGGAAGUUGUUUGGAGACUGAAAUUCCUUUACUUGUUUAUGAAUUCAUUCCUAAUGGUAACCUUUUUGAGUACUUGCAUCAACAAAAUGAGGAUUUUCCUAUGACAUGGGACAUGCGUUUGAGAAUUGCCACUGAAGUUGCUGGAGCUUUGUUUUACUUGCACUCUGGUGCUUCUCAGCCUAUUUAUCAUAAAGAUAUCAAGUCAACAAAUAUACUUUUGGAUGAAAAGUAUAGAGCAAAAGUAGCAGACUUUGGUACAUCUAGAAUGAUUUCCAGUGAUGUUACUCACCUUACUACAGUAGUUCAAGGAACAUUUGGAUACUUGGACCCUGAAUAUUUUCAAACAAGUCAAUUCACAGAAAAAAGUGACGUCUAUAGCUUCGGAGUAGUUCUUGUUGAACUCUUAACCGGGAAAAGGCCAAUAACCCUCACAAGUUCAGAGGAAGCCAAAAGUUUAGCUUCAUAUUUCAUCAUGUGUGUGGAGCAAGAUUGUGUAUUUGAUAUUAUUGAUGAAAGAGUGAUGAAGGAAGGGGAGAAAAAUCAUAUCAUGGAAGUCGUCAAUCUUGCAAAUAGAUGUUUAGAGCUGAAUGGAAAAAGACGACCAACUGCGAAGGAAGUCACAUUAGAAUUAGAAAGUAUUCGAAAAUUGGAAGGAAAGUCAAAUGCACAAGAAAGACAUAAUGAACUUGUUAGAAGUGAAGACUAUCAAUCUUGGGAUGAUUAUUCUACUAUCUUAGAAAUAAGGUCAGCCUUUGAUCUAAGUUGCAGAACACCAACCUUGGAAGAUAUUCAUAUUCGUACCAUAUAACGGGUAUGUAUUCUUAAUUUGUGUUAAAUAAAAUUAUUUUGGUUAAAUAAUAAGUAUAUAACCUUCAAUAAAAUUUUGAAGGUUUUUUUUAAGGUUGUACUUGAAUAUUGUGAUUAUACGUUGUCAAAUAUGAUUAUUGAUAAGUUUUCCUGUGUAUAUUAGAUUGUAUAUGAUGUAUACCACGAAUGCACAUAUGCACUGAUGUUUGUGGCGGUUGUAUUCAUUGGUCAGAUGGUGAGGCUAUUGAGUUCAUGAAGGUCUGCAGAGGAGCUGAGGGCAUUUGACUCUUUCAUUAUGAAGACUAUCACAUAGGAUAUACUUAGUGGUUGUGGUUUCCCAAUGUUUUUUUUCAGUAUGGAUGGUGUUGCUUAUCCUUUUGGCUAAAAGGAUGCAGUGAACAUUCCUAGGAACAAUUGUGUGGCAUUAGCAACUUGUGUUCUAUAGUCACACACACCUACUCAGUGAGGAGGAUGCUUCCUUCCUUGUUGUAGUUUAUAGGUUAAGCUAGUUAGGAUAUUGGUAUGCAUAAGAGAUUUUGGUUUUCUUUAGUUAUAUUUCUUUUUAAUGUAGAAUUAUGAUAUAUUGACAACUUAUUAUCUUUUAUAAUAAUAUAUUUGUGAAAUUACAUUAUGCUUUUCAUUAUUAUAUAAUUCAUGUGUUUGUUGGAGGAGGAAAGACACAUGAAAUUGUUGAUUUAUUCUUGUAGAUGGUGAGGAAAGGUUUGUGGCCAAAAGAAGUGAUUGUGUGAAAGUUGUUCUUGUAAAUUGUGUUGAUUUAGGGGACAUAGAGUUUGGUAGGAGUGAUCAUGGAUUCAUAAAGACUUCAAGCCACUUAAGAUUUUAUAUACAAAGGGAAAAAAAACUCUUAAAACACAAAUUAUGUGUACCAGAUGAAUCAUUAAUUGAUACAAUCAAACUCAAUCAUAAGAUGAUAAAAUCAAACAAAUUCAUCAUCAUAUAGUAUAUCAUCAUCAUAGUAUAUCAGUAGAAACAUCACAUAAUAACUCCAUUUGAAUCAUGACAUAAUACUUUCGUUUGAAUAUAAAAUAAUAGAUAAUGAGAUGAUGUUCUAUCGUAAUAAACAAAUUUUGAGUCCAUUUUAACUAAUAUCGUACUAAAAGUUGGUGUCCGUUUUGCAUGAAUCCAUUCUGAAUUUUGUAGGCACCUAUCUCAUAUUAUAGAAUUAUGCAUAACUUAACAAAGGAAGAGUUUUAUCGGGCCACAAGAAAACGAAAAGAUGCACCAGAUAAAAUAUCAAUCUUCAUCAAAUUGAAGUAGUAGAAGUAUGAUUCUUUUAUGAAGAUAAUUUGCUACCACCACUCACUCUUUUCACUCUUUUCUUGGCUAUUACGUUUUAAUGAUCUCAAUAUUUUAUUUUACAUUAUAAGUAAUCAUGGAUGAAAAAUAUAUUUAUAAUAAUAAUAUAUUUUACUCAGGAACCACCACCAGGAGGUUUACUUAAGGAAUUCAUAAUUCCACCAAAAAGACAAUGGUACCAGUAACAUGAACAUAUAUAUAAAGCUUUACAAAUGUAUCAACAUGUCACAAAAACAUACCUCUUAGCAUACUAACCGAAACCUGCUCUGACCACAAGUCAAUCAAAAAACCCGCCUAAAGGUAAGGUUAAUGCGUGUGGCUUCAGCUUUGGGUAUAGCCUCUCAUCACCAAAAGGGAUCCAUGUUUAAGUCUAAACGUAUGCUGAUCAGCAUCAUGGCUACCCUUCUUUAAUCUCUUGCUGGCAGGUUCAUCACUUCCAUCUGAAGAUCCACAACAAAUGAUAACAAGUUCAUGCACAUCCACAUAAAAAUCCACUACUAUUGUAUUAACAUAUACAGGAAGAAAUACAGGAGACUCUGCAAGUGUAAUCAUAACUCUAACAACAAAAGAAAUCAUACCGCAAGAUUUUUUACAUGGCUUCUUCUUCAGAACAAAGUCACGUUCACAUCCCAAACUUAGAGACGCAAUUUCAGGUGUUGGUCCAUAAAGCUUCUCAUCAUCAGAAUGCCAACCAACAUAGUCAUUACCACCGUUGUACCUAUUUAAGAGUAAGCUAUUAAAACUACUCAGGAAGAGCUUUGUGGACCUUCAGAAGUAAGUAGAAAGACACAUUAAGUAACACAUCAAACCUAUAUAAAAAAAAUGAACAUUUGUUACACUAACUGCCUAAGAACAGGGGCGUAUUUUCAAACUAGAUUGAUGAUUAAUAGCUUCAUUUUUUUAUUCUAAAGGGUAAACGACAAAAGAUGAAAUUCGUGUGGAAUCCCACUUUCCAGGUUGGGUAGAAUUUGAAAGAAAUGUGGGAACGAUAUGAACCUGAAGGAAGGAUUUUCCGAAGACGCGAAUGGUGGGUCUGGUCCAUGGAAUGUGUUUGUCGAGAUAUUGGAACCAUUUCCAUGACUGAUCGGAGGGUAUUAACCGCUGAAUGUAUACAACGUCGCUUCCAUUUCCGAGAUCCACCGUUUCCCUUUUCACACUCUCCUUAGUAUCAAACAAUCUUCAAUCACAAGUCCCAUUGUUGAUCUUAAACUUGUGUAGCUCAGACUCUAAAGUCUUGACAAUCUCAGCUUUCUCAGCAGGGGGUUCAGGAAAAUCUACAUGGAAUGAUCCCUGCUUGAUUGGUUCAACAGGUUCUUGGAUUCUGGAUUCCUCCUUUAUGUGAUUGUAGAGCUUCUGAUGGAAAGGAUGAUCCAAGGAAUAGCAGUUUUCACUUCCAUUUCCAUUCUCUGAAUGCCUGGAUGAUCAAGAGCCUUAUCUUCUACAGAAAUGUGGCAGCGAUGGCACUUUUCUUCUUGUCCUCUCUUGUAGAAGUGGCUUCACAACCUGCCAAUGCAAGUCUUAAUAAGCAUUAUCCCUAGGUGCAAAACUUAAACUAGUAUAAUGAAUAAAAAUAUCAUACAGAAAACCAAGUCACAAGGAAACCUUCCAACAUGCUGAAAAUAUGUAUGGCACAUUUACAAUGUAAUAAGUAUUUGUUUUCUAAGGGUAGUUCAGAUCAUCAAUGGAUGAUAUUAUUGUUAACAACUGCAUCAGCAAUGAAAGACAACUCAGCGAUAUUGGAAAAUAUUUAAAAACAAAGGCAAAAAGUUGACCAACUCUACUGCUUUAUGCAUUUAUGCACAAAGUAAUAACAAAAAUAGUUUAAUCUAAACUCAAUCUUGCAGUGCAACUUUGAGUAAGUCCAUUACUUCCGGAUAUGCUCUAGUUUACUGAACAUCACAUGUAAAUAGUAAUCUACGAACACAAAUCUCUUAACCGUACCGACUCUUAUGGUUGCAUUACCAUUUAUACAAACCUGCAUGAUUAUUUUCCUAACAUUAUAAUGUAUUAUGAAUUCAUUCAAUUCCCAAUUGUACUAACCCUGCUGGACCAGGUAGCUGUAUCAAUUAGAAUGUACCUUGAUCUGAUUCAGGACUGACAACUUCAGACCAGUCAUAUCCAAAACUUUUACACAUGUGGUAAUAGGCUGCCCAUGCUUCUUUGAUGCAGAAGGCUACAAGCACAUACGGGUCAAAACAAACAAAAGGGCAGAAUCUAAAUUAGCAGGUUAAUUAAAAAAUUAAGAAUCUAAGAGGACUCCGAAGUGAAAUGCCCACCAAUAUUACACGAUCACGAUAUUCGUUAAUUUGAAUAUGAGACUGCACAUAAUAAUGGACCUGCAAUCAUACAAGCAUGCAAAAUAGUGUUAGAAUUAGAAGAGAUAAGAACACAAGGUUUUUAAGAAAAAGAAAUAGAUAGUGCUCUAAAGUCCAAACAUAGCCAUUAAAAAUGCUUACAGAUGCUUUGUCAAAUGAGCUAAGCCCAACACCAAUUGCAAAGACAGGAAGACCCUGGAAAGUAUGGCAGGCAGAACAAGCAUUAAAAUUGGCAUGAGAUAUAUUAAGCAAGUUAAUGACAAUAAAAAUAUGUAUUUAGAUAACAAUCAAGCACAACUAAGAUUAUAUGUACUGAGAAAAGGUUGUGUUUGAAGAGCACCUCACCUCUCUUGAGUACCCAGACAAACCUAUAAGUUGUGAAUCACGAAUGCCUCGGUAAAAAUCAGUAGGAAUUAUAGGUUUCUGAAAGAAUGAAACAGCAUCCAGGUUUAACAUGCAAGAACUCAUAGUCUUGUGCAAUAAGUAUACAUUUUAAUAAGAUUUUGUCAAAAAAUACAUAAAGGCCCACGGCGAGAACAUCUCUGAAUCACAGACAAACUCCAAACUAAAAAAAUAUGAACUACCAAAAAAUGUCCAAACAAUAAUAUACAAGGAUUGGUGGAAUCUAGACUUACCGAUAAUAUGUUGUCAAUCUCAUUUUGCACUCUCCAGUUUAAACAAUCGAUUAUCUGAAUACAGGCAUUUACAACUAGAUUAGUUGGAUAAUAACAGCCAAUUUCCAACAAUAAACCAAUAUUGCUAAACAACCAUUGCCACAUCGCUAUAACAUGGCUCUUCCACUGCACAUGUCUUACCAUUUUAUGCGCCUUGGUAACAUUCCACUCCCUUGCUUUUAGAAAUCUCAUUAGGGUUUCGGUGACACAUCCUUGAUGAACAUUCUGCAAAGAGCUGCAAUUAAAUUCCAAAGGGGAUAGAGUGUUUUUCAAGUGAAAAACACUUGACCUUAAGCAGUUGCAAUAAGUUGCUAAGAGAUCACUAGAUUACACCAAACUCCAUCAUAAUUAGAAUAGGUAGAUAAUCGCACGCAAUUGAUUAAAUUAGCAGCCAUCCAGAAAUAGAAAGUUCUUAUUUCUAACUACAUAUAUGUCAACACACUUAAAUAAUAGGAGGUGUGAACCAUACGAAAUGAUUGUCCCCUUUCAACCAAGUUAACAUAGAGAGUUGAAGAAAAACACAGAAGUACAACAUUGAUUGACCUUCACACUUGAAAUCAGAUCUCAUCUCCCUCCCCCUUUCUUUAGCUAAAUCAUCACUACCAGAGAAAAGCCUUAAACGGGAGAGAAGGAAUGUAGAAGAGCCAAUUAGUCAACAGCAUCCAUGAAACACAUAGAAGCAGCAAUCACCAAAAUUUCAGGGUUCAAAAGGCCACAGUAAACAAAAUCCAUUGAACCACCACAUGCAAUUUACCGAGGUCAGACACACAAAAAAAAGAGAGAUCAGGGUCAGCACGCAGAUGUUGAAAACAAACAGACAUCCAAGAAACAAAAACAGAAGAAAAAAAUUAAAAUGUUAAAAUCAUAUGGGAAUGAGUAACCAAAAUGGUCACCUGAAAAGUUCUGAGCAGUGACUCCUCCUCAACUAGCAUCAUUGGAAAGAAACAAUUCAAUAAAAGGAAAAAAGAAAAGAGAGAGGGGGGAGAGAGAAAAGAAAAAUAGAGAAAGAUGGAAAAAAAAAAGAGAGAAGAUGUGAUAAAGGUAAGACCUUGAUCCAUGAGAGCUUGAAGCUUGUUGAGGGCAUCCUCAGAAACAACAAGGCUCAUUUUUUUUGUGUUGGUGAGAGAAUGAAGAGAAGCAAAAGCCCAGCAGAGGAAAGAAGAGAAGAAAAAAGGAGUAUUUGUUUGGUAGUUUUUGUAGCUUGUGCUUCACUCUCUCACUAUCUAGAGUGUUUGCAUUGCUUGACUGUUACAGAUACAGUACUGCACACCAAAGUUUGAUGUUAUAUGCAGUCAUUCUACUUAAUGUACAGCAAGUGACUCAGAGGUAGAUAGUUGCAUAGAUAGAUAUACCCAAGAUUCACCUCAUUCACCUCUCUCUCUCUCUCUUCCUUUUCUUUAUUUUGCAUUCUAAUAAUUUGGUUGGAUGUCUUUUUCAAUAUUAUUUUUAAUAAAAUCUGUAGAAACUUUUUUUCAUUCUCAAUUAUUAAAAAUAUAAUAAAUCAUCUUAAUUAAAAUAAAAUUGUAAACUAAGUUUAUGUUAUGUUCUUUAUUUUUAUCUUAAUUCAAAUUAUAUUUUUUAAUUGUAAAUGUAAGAAUAUAACUAGUAAUCCCAAAUCAAGAUUGUCUCCAAACAUGUAGAAGUGCACCAUAAUAAUAAAUUAAUUGUAUUCAAAAUAAUAUAUUACAGAAAAUCUAAAAUUGUGUUGAUAGAAUUUUUCCCACUUCACAUUAAUCUUUUUAUGUUUUAAUUUAAAUCAAACAAAAUUGUGUUUUAAACUAUAUUAUUCGAAUGUAGAUUACUCAGUUAAGAAAAAAUAAGUUUUAAUGUACAAUAAUAGUUAUAAGACUUUUUUGGGUAGACAUAAUAAUUAUAAGAUUUUACUUCAAAAUAAACCACAAGGAGGACCUAGCUUAAUUAAAAAAAAAUUAAUCGACUGGUCCCAUUGAAAUUUGUCCAUAUGUAAUGCAGAGAAGAAUUAAUGGUAAAGUAAACAAACAUUAUUCUUUCUUCUUCAUAAAUGCAAGGAACUUUUACAUCAAGAACAAUGUUAUCAACAAAUAUAAUUUCUUUUUCUUUAUAGUUCAGUAUUCAACUUAAACUACUUUUUAACACACGAUAUAUAUAGAUAUAAAGUGAAAAUAAAAAAGUUGAACUUGUUUAAUUUGAAAGAAAAAAAACUUAUAUUACUAAAAGUAAUUUUUUUAUUUUUUUACAUAAUUUAUUAUUUAAAUUAUAUAAAACUGGUUUAACAUUAAUGAAAUAACAUCCUACUCCAUAUUAAAAAUUAUUUUCUUACGUCAAUAAAACUAAUAAGUAAUAAUUUUUUUAUUAUAAAUAGUUAAAAUUUAGAUAAAAAUCAAUUUUGUGUUUAGAAAAUGAAAAAUAAAUUUAACUCUAAUGUAAUCGAUUAUUAUUAAUGUUGAGUAGUUGAGUUGUUUUGUUACUAUUUUUUUUCAAAGAUUUAGCUCAGUGUUCUGAAUUAUAUAUAAUCUAUAUAAUUUGUGAAUGCAUCGAAAAUAAUUUAUAUUUAACUUAUAUAAUUUAUAUUUAGCUUAGAAGGAUUUGUGAUGACAUGAUAAUCUGAAAAAAAAAGGUUGUCAAAUAAAAAAUAUCCUAAGAUUCCAACAAGCCAUGAUGGAUAUAACAUUCCACACUAAAAUAUGAGUUGGAAAAAUAUUGAGGUUGACAAUUCUUUGUACGGAAAGGUGGCUACUCCUCUUUUUUUUAGAGCCCUUGUCUAGACUGGAGAUGAUACUGUAGCCGCAUAUGGAUGUAGGGUGUUAUCCUGUUUGGAUCUGGUAAUGAUCGAAAAUAAAGGUGAGAGAAAAGUUGAGCCAAAUAAAAAAGUAUUCAGAAGUGAAGAAAAAGAAGAGAGGGAAGGAGUGAGUGACACAUAGGAUAUGUCUCAAUUUUGAGUAAACCUUUGCAUCUGAAUCCAUUAUACAAGUGUAGUAACUUUUUAUUACUAUAUGCUUGUAACCAACAAAGAGGUUGAGUCUUAGUUAAAGAAAUCAAAUAGAAAAAAAUGAGUGAAGUUAUUCUAUAUAACAUAUAUAAUAUAAUAUAACAUAAAUUUUUAAAAAAUAAAACAUAAACAAGAAUACUUUGAUUUUGAUUUCCGUCCAAAAUGAAAGAAAUUAUAUAACAUUAAUCAGACAGACCAUAUAAUUUUUAUCACAAAUUUCAGUAUAUUUAUGAGUGAUAUUACGAAGACUCAUCGAAGCAUGGAAAAAGUCAACAUUGUCGCUCUCAGACUCUUCGGUAGAACAACACAAGUGAUAAUGUCGGUGAUUUGACAGUCACGAGGGUACUAUUAUUAUGACAUCAUUUAUUCCAACUAUUCCAACUGGGAAAUCAUAGUAAUAUAUAUAUAUAUAUAUAUAUUUCUGCUCCAACCUUUUAUCAUGUCUUCCUUUCUCUCUAUAUUAACUUACGUGUAGAGGAGGAGAGAAAUAAUUGUAAUACAUGCUAUUAGUGGAUACACUUUCACACAAAAUAUUAUUUCUUAGUAAAAAAAAAUACCUAAUUAAUUUAAGUUAUUAAUCUUGAAAUAAAGAAAAUGGUGAAAUUAAGAGUAAUUAUUAUAUAUAUUGGUUCACUUAGUUUUUUGUUAUUUUGAAUUUUUGGCUGUGCGUAAGUUUUAAAGAGAUCUUAAAUAAGUAUACUUUACAAUGAAUUUAAUCAAUUUAUAUGAAAAAGAACUUCAUCAAAAUGUCAUUAUAUUAAUUUUCUUACUACGAGUUUUCUUGAAUUCAUCCGUCGAGUUACAUAGUUAUAGUUUACCUCACAAAUUUUUAAACCAGAUCAAACAUAAUUGAUCCACUGUAUACAGAUGAAAUUGAUUUUUAUCAAAACGAGAUAAAGUUUUCUGUACUUCUCACAAUAAUUUAGAAAAAGUUCUUAAUUAUUAACAUUUUAAUAAAGAUAAAUAAACAUGUAAAUAAUUAAUAAAAGAUAUUAUUAAAUUUUUACUAUAUAAAUAAAAUAACUAUUUUAUAAGUUUAUAAUUUUUAUUUUUAAAGUUUUAAAUUUUCAAAUUAUUUUAAAGAGAUAUGAGGUAUACUUGAAAAUUACGAAUCUCACAAAUUAUAAAUUUUACAAAUAAAUAAAUUUAUUAAAUUAAUAAAAUUUAUUAUUGAUAAUAAUAAUAAUAAUGAUAAUAUAUGACUUUUAAUACUCAAAAUUUUAUUUUAUUCUGAGAAAAAAAUAGAUUUUUUCAUAAUGCUGUGUAUAAAUGUUUUUUUUUUACAGAAUCAUAACAUAAAAAUUUUCGAAAACAUUAGUUAUUAAAUCUGUUAUUUUUCUUAAAUAUAGAAAAUAUGAAAAUUUCAAUUUCAAUUUUAUUGAAAAAUUAAUUUUUUUUCUUUCUAUCAAAUGUUUGUCUCGUAUAAAUUGAGCAAAUAAAGUGUAAUAUCUAAAAAAAAUAUUUAUUAUCAAUUAAAAAUAUCAAAGUUUUAAUUAUAUUAUUUAAUUUUUUAAUUUAAGUGUAAUAUAUUGUUAUAUUAUUAAAAUAAGGUUAUCAGAGUGAUUUUUUAAGAGGUCAAAGUAUAAUUUCUUAAAAUGAAAAUCAGAAAAAAAAGAGUAAAGUUUGAUAAUAACAUAUAUAUGAUAUGACAUAAUAUAUAUAUAUAUAUAAAUAUAAAACAUAGAUAUAAAAUUUAAUAAAUGUUUUAGGAAGGAGAAUCUUUUGGUAAGUAAAGUUUGGAACAUCUGUUUUAUUUGUCCAUAUAAUAAACUACAAAGACUCUAACUAUUCAUUUUCUUUCUCUUCUUCAUUUGCCUCCCCUUAUCUUUCACAUAUUUUAAUAUCUUGUAUUUACUCCUUUUUGAAAAGUCAAAUUAGGCUGCUCUGAGCCUUUUCCUGGAAGAUGUCAAAAUUAUUAAGAAACCAAUAAACUAUUGUUUAAUAUUAGGCAAUCUUGUGAAAAUCAUAGUAAUAUAAACACCCAUAUCCUGGUAUGAAGUUGGAGGCUUGCACCAACACCUCUUGAAUCUUGAAGCAGCGAAACAAGCCACAAUGAUUUUGAAAUUGGUGAUCCAUUUCAUCAUUUUGGUAAUGCGGGAGGUAUCUGCAUAUCCUCCAAGAAUUGGUAGGACACGUGUAGAAAAGCCUGGCUGUGAAUGGCAAUGUGGAGAUGUUUCAAUUCCCUUUCCGUUUGGAAUGAAGAGUUCGAAGUGCUAUGCAGGGAAAUGGUUUGAAAUAGAAUGCAGAAACACUUCCUCCUAUAACAAUUACAGUCACACACCUUACCUGAAGUCAAUAGGAGUGGAAGUGAUAUCCUUUGAUCUCAGAAGAGGCCUGGUUACUAUCAAUCAUCCUAUUUACCGUAGUAACUGCGGAUCCAAAGAUUCUCCGCGGGUCAACCAGUCCCUGGAAGGAAGCCCUUUCGUGUAUUCCCGUAAAUACAACAAAUUUGUGGCCGCAGGUUGUAAUAUUAUGGCUUUUUUGCAGUUAAAUGGGUCAGGUAGUGGUUGUGUCUCCAUUUGUGACGAGGACUACAAGGUGGGUGACGCUAAUUGUAAUGGGAAGUCAUGCUGUGAGAGUUCCCUGCCACUGUACCUUACACAAUACAGCACUGUAAUAAAAGCUUUAAAGGAUAAUGAAACGAGUCAUGGGUGCAGUUACGCCAUGGUUGUAGAGAAAGUUCUGAGCUACCGCUACUACUUUCCUGUGAAUGGUGUGAUGAAGGAUUUAGCUGUGGUCCCUGCAGUGCUCGAAUGGGAGAUUGUGAACAGUUUGAACCUUACACUCCCUUUAGAUCAUCUCUCCUACUGUGAUGAUACUAAUGUUACAUCUUCACUAUAUAAACGUUCAGGUCAGAGAUGUUCCUGCCGAUUCACUUUCGGUAAUCCUUACUUUGUCGGAGGUUGUAAAGGUAAAUAUAUUAUUUCCUGUUGUAUAAUUCAAGAAUUUACGACUACAAUAUUGUUUUGUUUUUUCUUAUUUUAAUCCUAAUUCUUAUAUUUUUAGUUCUUAAAUACUACUUUAUUUAUUUAUUUAUUUAAAAUUAAUAUUUUUUAGUCUAUAAAAUAUGCAUUUUUAAUAUAUAUAUAUUCAAUGUCCAUAAAAUACUUUGAAAGAGAAAAUACCCAUAACAUAAAUAUUAAAUAAUGGGAGUGUAUUCUUUGAAACAGUUCUUAUUUGCUGUUUUUCACUCCAAUCUUUUUUUAUUAAUAGACAUUGCUAUCAGCAUUUGUAUUGAAAAACAUUAUUAUAAAUAUUUUAAACUUUAUUUUUCACAGAUGAUCCUCCUCCGAUAUACAGGAAAUCGAGAAGUUCCGUAACAAUAUCCAUCAUAAAAGGUAUGUAUGAACUAUGAAGUGGUUAAUAAUUUAUAUGAUUUUUUUUUCUUAAUUAGGAGCAUUGAUUAUCUUUAUAUAUUAAAAAUAUACUAUUCACACACGACUAAAAUAAAAUAAAAAGUGCGAAAAAUCAAUAAAUUAAAAAACAUAAUAAAACACAAAAAUUAUAAUGUUAAACUUUAUUCGUUACUAUAAAAAAAAUUUCAAGUAUCGUAUAAAUCAACAUUCUUUGACAGCAUAAAUCAACAUUCUUUGACUGCAUAAAUCAACAUUCUCUUGAACUUACACUAUUUGUUAAGACGUACAUGACUUAUUCAUACCAUGUCUACUGUUUUGAAAUAAAAAAAUCGCUAGCAACCUAGCACAGAAAUAAAGCAAGAUAUAACGUAAAUAAAAUAAUAUAGUAAAUAAUUCAAUAAACCAAAUCAAACAAAAAUUAGGAAAUUUCAUGAUAUUGAAAUUAUAGAUCUGUUGUAUGUAGGACUGUUUUCUCGUUUUUUUUUACAUAAAAAUAUAUAUGUACAAACAUAAACAGUAAAAAUUCAAAUGUCACACAAUAAAAUAGGUUUGUUAAUAUAUUUAACAAUGAAAGAAAAAUGAGUUAAAAGUAACUUUUUAUUGAAUGAACAAUAUUCAAAUAAUUCAAAAAUCGACUCAAAAUAUUUGAGUAACUUGAGUUAUUCAUUAUUUUUUCUUUAUUUUAAUGUCGUUAAUUAAUAAAAUUAACUAGAAGUUUUCAAUUUCCAUUAAAUAAGAUAUAUGAAUGUGAAAUAUAUUACAUUGUUAUGGGAGCUAAUGAACUAGACCAAUAAGUCAUUGAUGUAAUGGAAAUUGAACUUCUUUUUCUUGAAAUAGGAUUUUGAACUUAAAUUUUAUUGAUAGAAAAAAAUAUAGUGGGAAAGGAAAUCUAUUGGAAAGUAAUGAUUCACGUUCUUUGUAAAAUAUUAGUUAUCAUUAAAGUUGGUGAAUAUUUUCUACCAGUAAUAUAUUUAAAUUAAAGGUAAAUAGUAUCCCAGUAAUUAUAUUAUUAUAUAAGUAUGAUUUAAAUUUGAAUAAAAAAAAUAAAAUUUAUAAAAUUUAAUAUAUUUUUGUGGAUAUGAAUUAAGCUGUAAAUUUUGUGGGAUAAAUGUGGUUUGUAAAAAUUAAAGUGAAUUUAAGAUGUAAAUUAUUAUAGUACAUGUUUGUAUAAAAUAAAAGCUAUUUUUUAUCGAAUCUCUUCGCAUACCUAGUUUUACUUGUGUGUCUUGGCAAUGUUAAUCCAUACCUAUGAUGAUCACUAAUAUACAUCAAUAUUAUAGUUAAAAAAAUAUAGUUUUUUGUUAACUUGAACUGUGUAUACUUUUUAAAUUAAAAUAUAGAUAUUUUGUUAUCAUACUAACCAAUUUUGGCAACAUCCUACUUUCAUUACAAGAAAAUUACUAUAACCUUAACUUGGGCAGUGGAUUCAGACUUGAUAUACUUCUCCACAUUUGCAUAUGCCCUUUUCAUAUUUGGUAGAUACAUUAAAUAACUCCACACAUACAUACUGUUUUAUAAUAUCUUAUUUAAAUACUCUUAUGUGCUUAUACAUAUACAUAUAUAUAUAUAUAAGGUUUUCCAAUGUUGGAAAUUUGUUUUAGUUUAAUCUUAAUUGUUAGACUUUCUAAAUGCUCAAAGUUGCGUAUAAGUGAAAAAGACUUAUUUUAAUGUAUUGAUGUGGUAAACUGUGUAGGAGUUUCUAUAAGCUUCGGAUCCAUCAUUUUACUCAUUAUUUUAUGGCGAGUGUUGAAGGCUACAAAAAAAACUAUAGUGGGAAAAUACAGAAAAAGAAUCUUCAAAAGAAAUGGAGGAUUAUUGUUAAAACAAAGAUUGUCUUCUGGUGAAGUUAAUGGGGAUAAAGUUAAACUUUUCAGCUUAAAGGAGUUGGAGAAGGCUACCGAUAACUUCAACACGAAUAGAGUAAUUGGAAAAGGAGGUCAAGCUACUGUUUACAAAGGCAUGUUGAUUAAUGGAAUAAUUAUUGCAGUGAAAAAAUUUAAGGUCCAAGGUAAAAUAGAAGAAUUCAUCAAUGAAUUUGUCAUUUUGUCACAAAUUAACCACAGAAACGUGGUCAAGUUGUUAGGAAGUUGUUUGGAGACUAAAAUUCCUUUGCUUGUUUAUGAAUUCAUUCCUAAUGGUAACCUUUUUGAGUACUUGCAUCAACAAAAUGAAGAUUUGCCAAUGACAUGGGACAUUCGUUUGAGAAUUGCCACUGAGGUUGCUGGAGCUUUGUUUUACUUGCACUCUGCUGCUUCUCAGCCUAUUUAUCAUAAAGAUAUCAAGUCAACAAAUAUACUUUUGGAUGAAAAGUAUAGAGCAAAAGUAGCAGACUUUGGUACAUCUAGAAUGAUUUCCAGUGAUGUUACUCACCUUACUACAGUAGUUCAAGGAACAUUUGGAUACUUGGACCCUGAAUAUUUUCAAACUAGUCAAUUCACAGAAAAAAGUGACGUCUACAGCUUUGGAGUAGUUCUUGUUGAACUCUUAACAGGGAAAAAGCCAAUAACCCACACAAGUUCAGAGGAAGCCAAAAGUUUAGCUUCAUAU